GGGAUCUUUUCUGCUCAGAGCACUGUCCUAUAAGGCAUUGCUUGUUUAAGUACAGUCGCAUUUAGUUGGAGCUGCAGGAGAGAGACAGAGAGAUUCUCUGUGUUUACAGCCAGCGCAGGCUACGGCGAACAUCUAACCUGGCCCCCCUUCCUCCCGCACUUGGAGGGGAGAGUGCGAGGCUGUUUGGGAAUCUGGCCACCGCGGGUCAGCCCUGCCUGUGACUGGAUUGCCAGGGCUGGUAGAGCAGAGCCCAGGGGGACCGAAGGGAAACACACAUCCCGUUUUAUUUGAGAGGGGAAGAGGAGGAAAAAAAAAAUAAUAAGAAAAAGAAACUGAGAGAGGAGGGAAGAGACGGAGAAAAAGGCAGAGGAAGCGGAGCGAGUGAGAGAGGAGAAGCAUGAGGACCUACUGGCUGCACAGUAUCUGGGUGCUGGGAUUCUUCCUGUUCCUCUUCUUUCAAGGUAAGUGAAGCUUUGGUUUUCCUGUGCAAUAACUACUAGUUGACUGGCCCUUGAUGAACUGAGAAACUGAUGUGCCUUGGCUCAGAGUCAGCAGUGAGAGUCGUCCAGUCUCAGAUGUUCCUGGUUCUCCUGUUUGUUCGUGAGUCUUUGUCAUAAAGACCUUUUGGAAAAAAAAAAAAUAUUACAGUUCUGUGAUCCAGCAAUUGGGAUGGUUAACCUCCAUUGCUUUGUACCCUGUCAGUAAGUUUUUACCUGUGUCAGGGUGCUAAUGGUAUGCGUACUGUUGUCCUGGGCUAGUGGAAUGUCAUCUGUGAGCAGAAGUCUGUACAAUCUUUCUUCCCUGCCCUCUUGCCCAAGCCAGUCUGUAAUGAAAUCACUGAGCUCUGUCCCUGUCGUCUGUCUUUAGCUUGGAUGUUAAGAGGUCAGUGCUCCUUCUGGAACAGGCACUUGUGCAAUUUCUGCAGUAUGGUAACAGUAUGGAGGUAACUGUAUAGUGCCAUAGUGCAAUUUACAUGAAACCAACAGGCUCAAGCAAGUGUGCUCAUAUCUGCAAAGCUGAUUCCCAUUUCAGAUGCCACGUCCUUGUGGUGCGUGACCUGAGUCUGCCAAAGUAUCUUUGAAGGUAUUUUUAUCACUCCUGUUCUGAAGUUCUGAUGGCCACAUUUGAAAUCAAGAUUUAUGUCAGUAUGGACUUAGCAUACGUGAAGGCUGUAGUUCAUCCUUCCAAUUUUCAAGCGCCUCACUGUUAUGUCUGCACUGUACAGCUUGUAGUGUACUGAGCACAAAACUGGCCACGGAAUAGCAUUUUCUGUGCACUUGGCUCUCCAGAUCAGUUUUCAUACAAAUGCUAUAUGAUUUAUAGUUGCUCUUCCUCUUACUCUGUACAUCCACAGACAUUAGGCAGUAUGCCAGACUCUGGUCUGGAAGAGCAGUGAAUAACAAGUUUAGAAAUGCAGCUAUAAGGGAUUUUUUUGGGUAUGGAUAUGAGUCUUAGUUAUACAGAAACAAAUAGCCAGCCAGCCGCAUAGGCACAGGUAACAAGAAUUUUGCCAUUGAUUUCUGUCAAUUUCUGUGAUAUUAAGUUAUCAUGGAUUGGUUCUACUCUUCUUCUUCAACUAUGGUAAGAAACAGUAUUGGACAGGCGAUAUUCACAAACAUCAUUUGUACGGAGUGUACUUCUGCUCACAAUUGUAAUAUUGUGGUCCUGAUUACUUAGAGAAGUUGUCCAGAUUACCUGCCAUACUGUGGUGGAUUUAGCUAAGGAGGGAAGAUCUGAUACUGGUUGUGGAUAUGUCCUAAACAAGAGGUUCAUAAUAACCAUGCUUGGGAAAUACCAUACUUCCGUUGCUUAGCGGUUCUGCUGGGAUAUUCCUGGUGAGUGUGCAGAGAAAUUAUGUUGAAUAACUGAGUUUCUGUUUUUAAAAGAGAAAAUAAAUGGGAAAGAGAAGAAAGAAAGAAAGGAAGUUUAUCUGUGUGGGCCAACUAGAAUGGCAAACAUUUGAGAAACUGUAUGGGAACUUGGUGAGUUUGAGAUACAGAGGUAAACCAUUCAACUAGGAAAAAAGGAAAGAGAGUAAGGAACAAGAGGAGAACAAACAGCAUUCAUGUUUAGGACUGUACUGCUUGUGUAGCUUUAAUAUGGUUGUUGUGUCAAGCAAAGGUGGUUCUUUUGCUAUUGCGUUAUCUGGGGCAGAUAUUACCUGGGGGACAAACCGUGAGGCUUGUGGCUAUUCCCUGUGACCUGCAGGCUGUGUGAGUGGAGAAAAGCAUCUUUCUAUAGCACCUGUGUCACCGGCCUGUGCACAGCGAGUUUUUGGGCAUGUCUUCGUAUCAGGAGUUUUCACCUGGCUGCCUUAUCUGAAGCAGCGUAGGGCUCUGUGGUCUAGGCUAGUCCCUUUUGGAUUCAGAUUACGUCAAAGAACUUUACUGCUAGCAUAAAGCUUAAAUUUCCCUCUGAUGAGCUUCAGGAUGCACAUCACAAGAACAAACGUGGAAAAAUGAAAGGCAGAUAGUAUAGUGUUUUAGCUGAGUUCAAUAGGGUUUUCAGCACAGAAGAUGACAGACCAAAACCUGGCGUCUCUACCACCCUGACACUAUAAUGUAUUUAGAUCCCGGUUGCACACUGCAGCCACGACAGACGAUUGCAGGCCAAAGACACCCUGCACAGAGACAUCAGGCAGAAAAGCUGUGUAAUUAGUUCAGCGGCUACAGAGCCAGAGAGAGUCAUCUUCUGUCUGUGUCCAGAUGCAGCGUGCAGGGAAAAAAAUCUUUUGCAUUGGUUGCAUAACCAGAGCCUUGGCAUCGCCACUGAGGAGAAUGAUUUCUGCUUUCCCCCGGCCUAAAAAAAAUGAGAACUCAUCCUUGUUCCACAGCUGGAAGAGCCAAAGCAAGAUUUGGCACGCUUGGGACACAUGGGUCAUUGGAAUCCAGAGCUUCCUCCUGCAUCUCCUCCCGCAGUGCAACAUGCAUUUUCUCAUAACAGGAGCAUCUAAAACCCCACUCUUCUUGCUUGUCAGCUGUACCAACGUGCCCGUUUGCAUUGCUGAGCACAUGCAAACACUUGCUAUAGGAAAUCUCCCUCCUUGCUCCCUUCUACUUUGUUACUUCUUACCCAGAUGAGUUUUCCAAUCUCAUUCAUAGUACAGUUUGCACAAAGAGCUGCUCUUGCAUCCACACAUAGAGGCAGUGAUAACUGAUAGUAGAGAAAGGCUGUGAUAGGAUUGGUAACAUCCCAUGCCAACUGUGACUUUAAUUACUUGUUGCUUUUUUCAUUUCCUUUUUUUUUUCUUCCUUCAUAGCUACUGCUAUCCUGAUACAAUUGUGUCAUUAGUUCAAAAAGACUCAAGCAUCAUGAGGUUUUACAACCGUAAAUAGAUACGGGGUUCCUGUUCAUUGGGAUCCUCUUCUCCAAAAAUCUUGAUGGUUACGAAUUUAUCUGAAAGGCUUAAUUGAGUUUCUUUCUUACUGACAUGGCUCAGAGAGCUGGCGCUUUUAAGAAAGCCAUAAAACUGUGGUGAUAUUGAAUAAAUCAGCCAAGCUGCCAUUUGUUCAAACAGCAUCCUUAUAUGGACACUGGGAAGCAAGGAAGAAGUCCUUGCCCGACCAGGAUUACAAAAGAAAUUGUCGCAUCAUUUAUGGCAGCCUUCUUAUCAUUAUCAUUAGAGCUAAUGCCAUCAUCAUUUUCCCCAGUGAAAGCAAGGCCUCUGGGGCUUCUCUGCUUCCUGACAGUGGAGACACCCAUGUGCAUAUUAAUACGCAGCUUUGCUUAUGCUAAUGGCUGCUAUUUGUAACAUUAAUAUUUUCUUCCACCAUAAAAAAAUAACAACAAUAACAAUAAUGCUUUGUCGUGAGGAUUUGAGCUCUAAUGCGCUUUGCGGGAGUGGAAGGGGAAGAGAAAAGCUUCUGACCUAAUUUUUGUAUCCUUGAGGGAAAGACCAAAUUUGCAGAUGGCAUAGGUGCAGAACCACUCGCUCUCCUCAAAAGCAGUGUGAAGGUCAGUGGGGAAAUUGGUCCACUUCACACACAAAGCAAGCAUCAUUAGAGCUGAUGGCUAGAAAUUCCUGCUCAGAGGCAUUCCUGGCACUGAAUCAGCAGCAGGGCAGAGGUGGGUGCAGUCAGCCAUCAGGGCAUACCUCCUGAGCCUCAACAUCCUGCUGUGGUGUAGCAUUAAGGAGUACUUCCCUUCGCUUCCUGGAGCAGAUCUGUUCAGAACAGUGCAGAGGCUUUGAUACUGCCCCAUCCCUGCAGCAUUCCAUUGCCGUUGUUUUUUGUCACAAUGUCAACUCCAUGCAGAAAGGAAAGUUGGACCCCAAGCCUUUUUCAGUCUUACUGUAAGUCGCUGUAGUUGUAGGAGCCACACAAGGUGAUCCCACAGUGGGAGGUGCUGUGCAAUGGCAGAUUAGGAAGACUGCUGUAUAUUUUCUCACAGGGUUUGCUGUUUUCUAAGCUCUCCAGUGUCUGGAUUUGGAUUGCCGAGAUUACCUGUUUUAUUUCCAAGCUUCGUUCUUUUCUGUGGCCUUUGCUCACGUUGCUUACAAGAAAGACGCAGAGCUCCCAGAAUGGGUCCAGAGGAGGGCUGCUAAGAUGAUCAGAGGGCUGGAGAACCUCUCCUAUGAAGAAAGGUUGAGGGAACAGGGCUUGUUUAGCCUGGAGAAGAGAAGGCUCCGGGGAGACCUCAUUGCGGCCUUCCAGUACUUGAAGGGAGCAUAUAAACAGGAGGGGGAAUGGCUGUUUAUGGGGGUGGAUAGUGAUAGGACAAGGGGGAAUGGUCUUAAACUGAGACAGGGGAGGUUUAAGUUAGAUAUUAGGAGGAAGUUUUUCACACAGAGGGUGGUGACACACUGAAACAGGUUGCCCAAGGAGGUUGUGGAUGCCCCAUCCCUGGAGGCGUUCAAGGCCAGGCUGGAUGUGGCUCUGGGCAGCCCGGUCUGGUGGUUGGCGACCCUGAACAUAGCAGGAGGGUUGAAACUCGAUGGUCAUUGUGGUCCUUUUCAACCCAGGCCAUUCUAUGAUUCUAAGUUCAGAUGAUGCAGACAGCAACGGGAAAACAAGAAAGAGAGUUGAAACACCAUCAGGUUUGCUCCUCAAGUCUGAAAUGCCAUUGGACUGUUCUGUAAUGUGGGGGCAGUGCCUUCCUGCUCUGCAGCAUGGGUGCUGGAUUGUUGGUGUUUGGUUUUAUGAAAGUAAAUAAAGAAAAAUGUAAAAGAUUUUUGCAGGAUGAGGGAGUCAGAACCUUUGAAAAUGUCUGUAAUUAGCUGCUUUGGGAGCAAAUAACGAUAUUUAAUGGGCCCCUCGGUGAUAAUCUUAGUAGCUUUUCCUGAUACCUGACAAAUACUGAACAUUGUGUACUUAAUUUUAAUUAACAACUUUUUAAAGAAAAUGUCAGUGAUGUGCCAUACCUGUAGUUUAUUUGGGAGUAGGGGGGUCACUGUGUUUCUGGUUGCAAAAAGUAAGACAGGAAGAUUAUGUUUUUUCUGGGUGAAACGGCACGACUUAAACAAGGAUCUGUCUUCUCGUACAUCUCUUCUGUUUUAAACUAUCUAGAGCCCCUCUUUGUGCAUCAAGGGCUUAUGGUGGUUUUUACCAUUUUAUUUUAUGAAGUGAAGGGAGGGAGGAAGGAAAAGAUCACACCACCUAUUGAAUCCAUACCGUUACAGGAUUUGAUCAAAGGAGAAGAAAGCAAUACGAAAAACACCCCUAAGAUCACUUCACUUUCAGAGCUGGUGCUCAGAGAUGUCCUUUCUCAGUAGUAUCAGGUUCCCUGGCUGUCUCAAAGCAUGAGACUGACUUCAAACUGCCAUGUCACUCAGAAAUGAAUGACACCAUCCUCCCUAAUGUACAGUCAGCACAAACAAUUCUCAAAUACCUGCAUUUGUUCCUCGCAUCGAGGUUCAAGACAUCUGAAGGUUACACUUUCACACUUUUCAGUAAAUACACAGGAGUUAAUGAGAUUCUUUUUUUAAAGUGAGCUGAAAUUUUCUUGAAGAUUCAUAGGAGUUCAACCCAUAUAUCACAGCUUGAGUGACUUGUGUCACAAUUGUGAGAUUUAGGAAUACUUCAGAAACAAGAAAAUUAUGGAUACGGCUUAAAAUAAAAUAGAAAUGACACCCACCUUAAGUACUUCAGUUCAAAUAAUGCUAAAUCUAAAAACAUUCUACUCUAGUGUUUGCCACUCUCCUGUAUCACAGCCUUUAGUGCACAAAAGCUUGUGAAUGAAACUUACAGGAGGUUGAACAUGGCUUUGAUUUUUGGAACUCCUUGUACAUUAUUUCAGAAACAUAACACUGAGCCCAUUGGAGCCUUGUUGUUUCUGAGAAGGAAGCAAAUUGCCUUCAGUGGAGAAGUGGAAUUCCAAGUGAAAGCAAAAGCCGUAGCUAGUGAAGAAUUAGGUAUUCAACAGUCUUUCAGGACCAAUUAGUAGAAGGUGUCAUUGGCAGCAUAAGCA
rnacentral:lncRNA from 1 species